GGAAAACAUAGAAACCAAAAUUUUGCUUUGUGAAUAUGUCUUUUAUCACAGUUAAAUUAAUAAAGAGUUGAAAUUUUGACUUUUGUGCUAAUUUGUGAAAUUGGCUCAAAUUAUUAUCUUCAAUGCCUGCUACUGACACUUGACAUUUCUACUAAAUGUAUAACAAGAAUUUAGUGCUGACUUCAAUUUCAAGUAUGUGCAGUUUGAUCACUCAUAGUUGCAGUGCUUAAAAUUAACA
rnacentral:misc_RNA from 1 species